UUAACAAAAUAAAAAAUUGGGGGAGGUUUCGGUGGAUCUGAAGAAACAACGGAGGUGGAGAACAGAUCCGACUUAUUCGCCACAAGGUUUCCAAAGACCGUCGAAAAGAAAACCUCUGGUUUUCAAUCACCGUUGCUUCUAUGCAAUAUCAAAAAGGUUUCCUAGAUUUAUUCCAGAUCUAUGCGGAAUCACAAAAGGUUGGGAUCUUCUCCUUUGUUGAAUCGAUUUGUAAAAAAACGAUUGACAUGGAAGUUAAAGGAUUCAUAUGUCGCAUCCAAGCAAAGAACGUUAAACAGAAGUUCAGACAACAAGGUAAGCAAGAACAAAAGAGGUAAAGGCAAAGUGUGAUCGUGGAAUCAAGGCAAUGAAGAGG